CCUCGAGGCUGAAGAUGGCCAGCUCUACUGGAUGCUUACUCAGAUGAAGUGGCUGUUACUUAUUUAUGUUUAAUGUCUAUAAACAUUUGCCUGCAUGUGUGGGUGAGCACCAUACUCACACAAUGCCCUCAGAAGCCAGAAGAUGAAGUCACAUGCCCUGGAACUGGGUUUGCAGACUGUUGUGAGUGACAUGUAGGUGUUGGGAACUGAACCUGGGUCCUCUGCAGGAGCAG
rnacentral:lncRNA from 1 species